UACGUAGGGUCCGAGCGUUGUCCGGAAUUACUGGGCGUAAAGAGCUCGUAGGUGGUUUGUCGCGUUGUUCGUGAAAACUCACAGCUUAACUGUGGGCGUGCGGGCGAUACGGGCAGACUAGAGUACUGCAGGGGAGACUGGAAUUCCUGGUGUAGCGGUGGAAUGCGCAGAUAUCAGGAGGAACACCGGUGGCGAAGGCGGGUCUCUGGGCAGUAACUGACGCUGAGGAGCGAAAGCGUGGGGAGCAAACAGG
rnacentral:rRNA from 1 species